rnacentral:rRNA from 1 species
UGGGGAAUAUUUGACAAUGGGCGCAAGCCUGAUCCAGCCAUGCCGCGUGAGUGAUGAAGGCCCUAGGGUUGUAAAGCUCUUUCACCGGUGAAGAUAAUGACGGUAACCGGAGAAGAAGCCCCGGCUAACUUCGUGCCAGCAGCCGCGGUAAUACGAAGGGGGCUAGCGUUGUUCGGAUUUACUGGGCGUAAAGCGCACGUAGGCGGACUUUUAAGUCAGGGGUGAAAUCCCGGGGCUCAACCCCGGAACUGCCUUUGAUACUGGAAGUCGUGAGUAUGGUAGAGGUGAGUGGAAUUCCGAGUGUAGAGGUGAAAUUCGUAGAUAUUCGGAGGAACACCAGGGGCGAAGGCGGCUCACUGGACCAUUACUGACGCUGGGGUGCGAAGGCGUGGGGAGAAAACAGG